rnacentral:rRNA from 1 species
GUCGAGAAUCUUCCGCAAUGCGCGCAAGCGUGACGGAGCGACGCCGCGUGGGCGAUGAAGGCCUUCGGGUUGUAAAGCCCUGUUAGCUACUAUGAAACGCGGGUGGUGAACAAUCAUCCCGCUUGACAAAAGUGGCAAAGAAAGCACCGGCUAACUACGUGCCAGCAGCCGCGGUAAUACGUAGGGUGCAAACGUUGUUCGGAAUCACUGGGCAUAAAGGGCGCGUAGGCGGUCUGGCAAGUCAUGCGUGAAAUCCCCCGGCUUAACCGGGGAACUGCACAUGAAACUGCUGGGCUAGAGUGCAGGAGGGGAGAGCGGAAUUCCUGGUGGAGCGGUGAAAUGCGUAGAUAUCAGGAGGAACGCCGGUGGCGAAAGCGACUCUCUGGCCUGUUACUGACGCUGAGGCGCGAAAGCUAGGGGAGCAAACGGGAUUAGAAACCCUAGUAGUCC